AGUGAACGCUGGCGGUAGGCCUAACACAUGCAAGUCGAACGGCAGCACAGUAAGAGCUUGCUCUUACGGGUGGCGAGUGGCGGACGGGUGAGGAAUACAUCGGAAUCUACUUUUUCGUGGGGGAUAACGUAGGGAAACUUACGCUAAUACCGCAUACGACCUACGGGUGAAAGCAGGGGAUCUUCGGACCUUGCGCGAUUGAAUGAGCCGAUGUCGGAUUAGCUAGUUGGCGGGGUAAAGGCCCACCAAGGCGACGAUCCGUAGCUGGUCUGAGAGGAUGAUCAGCCACACUGGAACUGAGACACGGUUCAGACUCCUACGGGAGGCAGCAGUGGGGAAUAUUGGACAAUGGGCGCAAGCCUGAUCCAGCCAUACCGCGUGGGUGAAGAAGGCCUUCGGGUUGAAAAGCCCUUUUGUUGGGAAAGAAAAGCAGCAGGUUAAUACCCCGCUGUUCUGACGGUACCCAAAGAAUAAGCACCGGCUAACUUCGUG
rnacentral:rRNA from 1 species